GCUCAAAUAAACUGGUUAGUCUCUAAGGUGCCACAAGUACUCCUUUUCUUUUUGUCCCACAAAGUUGCUGUGCAGGUUAAUUUGUGAAUGCUCCUCUCCCAUUGUGCAGACCAACAUGCAUGGCAGAGACGAUCUAUUAUUGUUAUGCAGGAGGUCAGAAUAGAGAAUCACAAAUAGUCUCUUCUGGCCUUAGGAUCUAAAACUGACCAGAGAGUAGAAAGACAGAAGUCCAGAGACAAAUCAAAGCUUAAAAUUAAAAAGCGCAUCCCUGUAAAUAGGACACAAUCCGAUCUUGACUAGAAACAUCUGUUUUUGUUUUACUCAAGGACUCAUUGAUAGCGCUCGUCCUGAUUUAACAAAGGACUGGGCUAACUUUCAAAAAGAGCAACUGUGCUCUUCUUCGGGGCUACCUCCCAUCCCCUGGCCUGCUUCGCUUUUCUGGUCAGCCACUGAAAUUGGAUGUAUUGUCUUUGGCUGGCUGGGUUGUAUUUGUAAAUUGCUAGAGAUCUUUCCAGCUCGUGAUCGGAGUAAGGAGCUAUAUACAUUUUGCUGUCUAACGAGACCCAAGUAUGAAGCAGAUGCUUGGAGCUAAGCACGGAGUUCAGUGAAAGAUCAGUCUUGAUGGCUUUGAAUUUAUCCCUCCUGUUGCCUUUGAAUUAAAGUCUGGAACUGGGCCGGUUUAUCUCAAUGGACAACAUCUGAUCUUGGAAGAUGAUGCCAAAUACGAAGCCAGAGGAGGAUGGCUAGCAGAG